GCUCCCUGCGCUAUCCUGGGUCCGCCGCAACUCCUGGGAUCCGUAGGGCGGCUGGUCCGGAUGUGGACAGAGUGGCCUCUUCGACAUGCCACUCCGGAUCAGCCACUUU
rnacentral:sRNA from 1 species